rnacentral:rRNA from 1 species
AUUGAACGCUGGCGGCAGGCCUAACACAUGCAAGUCGAGCGAGCGGCGGACGGGUGAGUAAUGUCUGGGAAACUGCCUGUUGGAGGGGGAUAACUCCUGGAAACGGUAGCUAAUCCCGCAUACCAUCAGAUGUGCCCAGAUGGGAUUAGCUGGUAGGUGGGGUAACGGCCCACAUAGGCGACGAUCCCUCGCUGGUCUGAGAGGAUGACCAGCCACACUGGAACUGAGACACGGUCCAGACUCCUACGGGAGGCAGCAGUGGGGAAUAUUGCACAAUGGGCGAAAGCCUGAUGCAGCCAUGCCGCGUGUGUGAAGAAGGCCUUCGGGUUGUAAAGCACUUUCAGCGGGGAGGCGUUACCCGCAGAAGAAGCACCGGCUAACUCCGUGCCAGCAGCCGCGGUAAUUC